rnacentral:snRNA from 1 species
GUGCAGCACAUACGCUAAAACUGGAACAAGACAGAGAGGAUUAGCAUUGCCACCCGUCCAAGGAUGGCAUGAAUAUCCCUGAAGCAUUCCAUAUUUUU